CGGGAGUAACUAUGACUCUCUAAAUUGCAAAAUUUACCUUUGGAGGGAAAAGUUAUCAGGCCUGCACCUGAUAGCUAGUCUUUAAACCAAUAGAUUGCAUCGGUUUAAUAGGCAAGACCGUCAAAUUGCGGGAAAAGGGUCAACAGCCGUUCAGUACCAAGUCUCAGGGGAAACUUUGAGAUGGCCUUGCAAAGGAUAUGGUAAUAAGCUGACGGACAGGGUCCUAACCACGCAGCCAAGUCCUAAGUCAACAUUUCGGUGUUGAUAUGGAUGCAGUUCACAGACUAAAUGUCGGUCGGGGAAGAAUAGGUAUUCUUCUCAUAAGAUAUAGUCGGACCUCUCCUUAAUGGGAGCUGGCGGAUGAAGUGGUGCAACACUAGAGCCGCCGGGAACUAAUAAUAAACAUAAUAUUAGUUUUGGACUAAUCGUAAGGUAGCCAAAUGCCUCGUCA
rnacentral:ncRNA from 2 species